rnacentral:rRNA from 1 species
CCUACGGGUGGCAGCAGUGGGGAAUAUUGCUCAAUGGGGGAAACCCUGAAGCAGCGACGCCGCGUGGAGGAAGAAGGAUCUCGGUAUGUAAAGCUCUAUUAGUAGGGAAGAAAAUGACGGUACCUGACUACUAAGCCCCGGCUAACUACGUGCCAGCAGCCGCGGUAAUACGGAGGGUGCAAGCGUUAUGCGGAAUCACUGGGUGUAAAGGGGGCGUAGGCGGCGUGGUAAGUCAGAUGUGAAAUCCUAGGGCUCAACCAGAGAACUGCAUUUGAAACUGUUGUGCUGGAGUGUGGGAGAGGUAGGUGGAAUGCUUGGUGUAGCGGUGAAAUGCGUAGAGAUUAAGAGGAACACUCAUUGCGAAGGCGACUUGCUAGACGAUAACUGACGCUGAGGCUCGAAAGCGUGGGGAGCAAACAGGAUUAGAUACCCUAGUAGUC